CCUAUCCUGCAGGGUCACGAGCAGCCCCACCGGCUCUCCUGCUGAGCAAUGCUAUGGCGGCAGGCCCAGGUGCCAGGGGUGACCUCUCCUCGGCAAUGAAGGAGGGGUGCCACGCCCGCCCGCUUGGUGGGUAAUUACUGCCGGUCUCCUACCUGACCUCUCCUGCCCGUUUGCCUCGAGGGGAACCAGUCAAAGCUCCAGCCAGAGUGGGCCUCACAGGCCAGCCUGCUCACCGCGCCUGCUUUGCCCGCGUCACCUGCCUGCCCUGCCGGCCCUGCAGCAUUCCGUCCCCGAGGAGGAGCUGACCCUUGGCUGCCUGAUGCCUGGUGCCUGGUGCCUUUGCUGAUUUCCCUAUUCUGGACGUUUCGUGCAAAUGGAAUCACACAAAGUUCUUUGGGAUCUUAAUAUUUUUUGAAACCCCAUGUUAAAUGGGUGCUCGGGGCUCUGAACAUUCCCUUGUUGGAUAUUUUGGUUAACUUGAACGUUCGUCUGCUUUGGGAGGACCACCCACCUCGCCCCCACUGGAAGAUCCGGAGGUGGGAUCAUAAAGGAUGAGUGGAAAGUGGGGCGCCCGCCCUGUCUUUGUUCCCAGCACCCCGUUGGAAGAGUGGGUUAUCACGCACUCCUCCAGAGACUCGGGCCCCUCCUCGGCUCAUGCAGGUUCCCCCGGUGCUGUCACCGUCCGCUCGUAGAGGCACUCGGCAAACGUUGGCUGGCAGGAACCCCUUCCGUGUUGCUAAUAAGGACGAUCAUUGGAAAGAGACACCGAGAUCGGGUGGAAAAAGUGAGCGGUCCAGCUUGGAAGGAGGAUUUCCUGCACAAUCGAAACCCCAACCCAGACCAAGCCUGAGUAAGGCCGCAAAGUAAUGGGGGUAGGGUUUUCAUGUGACUUGUCCACUGACUCCCAAAGGUGGUUCCCAUAAUGCCCUCAGCCAUGGCAGACCACUGCGUGUCCCCACCCCACCCCCCGCCCCCAAUGCCAGUUC